GCUGGGCAUGGUGGUGUGUGCCUGUAAUCCCAGCUACUCAGGAGGCUGAGACAGAGAAUCACUUGAACCUAGGAGGUGGAGGCUGCAGUGAGCCGAGAUGGCACCACUGCCCUUCAGCCUAGGUGACAGAGCGAGACUCUGUCUCAA
rnacentral:sRNA from 1 species